UCCAUAAUUUACAGACGGUUUGGGCAAUAACCAUCAAUAUUAAUAGAUUCUCCAAUCAUAAUUCGAUAAAAAGCAAUAAAAAUUCGUGGAACGGCCACGGAAAGUAUACGAGGAUGUCAGAUAUUCAACAUAAAUAUUGCAGGCAGAUGCGAUGUUGCACAUCACAUCCAAAACGGGUUUUUUAACGUCGUGUUUACACAAAGGUGGGCGAACUAAUGACAAAACCAAUAUGAGUUAAUUUGGUCAACGUUUAAAAGGUACAAUUGAAAUAAAUGGAAACUUCCGUUUUGUUUGCAGCAGAACACCAUUCUCCCAACUUCAGAUAAACAUCAACCUAUCGAUGUAGAACAAUCGGCGCAUCGGUUACCUAAAUUGCACACUAGUGAUAUGUCACAUCGUCCACCUAAUACAUCGUUAAGAACAUAAUAUAUAAUGGAAU